GCCAAGGUGGCUUAAUGGUAAAUGUACUUGCCUAAUAAGCAGGAGACCUGGGAUCAAGUCCCAGCCUUGGUA